rnacentral:tRNA from 1 species
CGGGCUGUGGCGCAGUUUGGUGUGCGCGUCGAUCUCGGGGACCAAAAGCCAGAGGCUCAAAUCCUCUCAGCCCGA